rnacentral:lncRNA from 1 species
GCGCAGCAAAGGAAGGAGGAAAAGAAGCCAAGAAGGAGGUGACAAAGGACCUAACAGUCCUUUUUUAGGAGAGAAAAUGUCCAAGAGGCCAAGAGAAGGCCUUCGAGGAGGGAGAGAUCGCCAGGUCCCAGAGGACCAGGAGCUGAGAAGCACCUUUUUAGUUCUGGCACGUGGGAGGUCACAGUGGUGGUGGAUGGCAGGGACAGGUUCUGACUGAAGGCCCCAUGUGCUCCUGGGGCCAUGCUCGCUUUGCCCUGUCUCACCCAUUUCCACCACACUAUGAAAGAACCCACCGGGGGCCUCAGGGUGGGGCCAAAGCUGAGGGUGGAGGGUUGGUCUGUGGGCCCUGGAGUCAGACCUGGAACAGGAGCCCAGCUGUCACUGGAUAGCGGGUCUCUGGCCUUGAGGCAGUCACUUCAUUGCUGUGAGCCUCAGUUUCCCCAGCCAUACGACCUCGGUAUCUUGGACAGUGCUCGGCCCAAGCCACCAGACUGGAUGCCA